rnacentral:rRNA from 1 species
UACGGAGGGUGCAACCGUUGCUCGGAAUUAUUGGGCGUAAAGCGUACGUAGGCGGUCCAGCAAGUCGGGUGUGAAAGCCCUUGGCUUAACCAAGGAAGUGCAUUCGAAACUACUGGACUUGAAUACUGGAGAGGAUCGCGGAAUUCCCGGUGUAGAGGUGAAAUUCGUAGAUAUCGGGAGGAACACCAGUGGCGAAGGCGGCGAUCUGGACAGAUAUUGACGCUGAUGUACGAAAGCGUGGGGAGCAAACAGG